CCUUCACACUGUGCGAAAGCGCGAUGAGGGGAUCCCAAGUGCUUGCUCUUAGGAGUAAGCUGUUUUCCUGUUUAAAUCGCAGGAAGAGGAAGGGCUGGGUAAGACGGGUCCCAGCCGCCGCGGUAAUACCUGCAGCUCAAGUGGUGACCGCUAUUAUUGGGCCUAAAACGUCCGUAGCCGGCUGAGUAAAUGCCUGGGUAAAUCGUGUCGCUUAACGAUACGAAUUCCGGGUAGACUGCUUAGCUUGAGACUGGGAGAAGCUAGAGGUACUCCUGGGGUAGAGGUGAAAUUCUGUAAUCCUGGGGGGACCACCAGUGGCGAAAGCGUCUAGCUAGAACGGGUCUGACGGUGAGGGACGAAACCCUGGGGCGCGAACCGGAUUAGAUACCCGGG
rnacentral:rRNA from 1 species